GAUGAAGGAACGCAGCGAAAUGCGAUAAGUAAUGUGAAUUGCAGAAUUCAGUGAAUCAUCGAAUCUUUGAACGCACAUUGCGCCCGCCAGUAUUCUGGCGGGCAUGCCUGUUCGAGCGUCAUUUCAACCAUCAAGCCCCAGGCUUGUGUUGGGGACCUGCGGCUGCCGCAGGCCCUGAAAACCAGUGGCGGGCUCGCUGUCACACCGGGCGUAGUAGAUUUUAUCUCGCUCAGGGCGUGCUGCGGGUUCCGGCCGUUAAAAAGCCUUUUUUACCCAAGGUUGACCUCGGAUCAGGUAGGAAGACCCGCUGAACUUAAGCAUAUCAAUAAGCGGAGGA
rnacentral:misc_RNA from 1 species